AUGCCGGCCAGGGGCAUCGUCACGUGGAACUCGAUCGUGGACGGAUACGUGUCCACCAGGGCACUAGGCUCUCGCGCCGCUGGCCUGCUUCAGGAGAUGCACGAGGUGCGGCAUGACAGAGUCGGGAUUAUCCACCACUCUUGCCGUUUGCUUCCUGAAAUAGGCGUUGAUGGAAGGGCAUGGGCUUGGAGGAAGACGCCAAGGUUGGCACCUCUCUUCUUGACAUGUACUGCAAGUGUGGUGCCAUUGCUUCUGACGAAGGUGGCCGCGAUGAUUGAGGAGGUAGAGGGGAUGCUCGGCAUGCCAAUGGAGCAUCUCUGA
rnacentral:rRNA from 1 species